ensembl:lncRNA
AUAAAGCUAGAUAACCGAAAGUAAAAACUACUUCAAGACUCGUCGAGGACUUGUUGACGACUGAUGACAUAUUAUUGAAUUCGCCCGAGGACCAGAUGUUAUUCAUACAACUCAUACUAAUCUAGAGACGAUGGAGAAGAGCUACGCAGAACUACAGGCUGCAGGUAGUAGAGGUCGAGAUGACAUCUGAGAUUUUGCUGUCCAUUGGACCCACAUAAGGUGCGAUGGAGAUCUCGUGGAUUGUGACUCAGAAAUAAAUGGCACAAUGUUUGGAUUCUUCAGGCUGAAGACGUCAAGGAUAUUCAGCUGAGCUCAAAGGUGACUGCGCUCUCUCCUUUCAAGCGUCAAAAUAUCUGCCAUCUUGUUAUACGGGCUAUAUUUUAUGAUUCCUGCGCUAUGGAUCAGCGGUCUUUGCCUCCUUUUUCUCAGUGAAUUCUCUAUGAACGGGUUUGUAUAUUUGAGUGACAUUGCCUCUGACAAAUGAUGAAGGAUGGAAGGAGACACAGGGAGACAUUCUCAGCUAAUGAAAUUGUCUGACCCACAUCUUUUAGUGCUAUCCAUUUCUCCAAAGACACAGAAAGGGCAUUUAUGCAGGUAAACCAUGACUGGUCCCUGAAGUGAAAGAGGGUUGUUUCUGAAGGAAGAGUAGCAUCCAUUAUUUACUAUACCAGGGUUGCUAGACACUUAGGGGGUAAUGCAGUGUUUCAAGCAUACAAAACAGAACCUUUUUGGUGCUGGUGAGGAUAUUGUUGUGUGUUUGGAACAUGUCUGUUUCCAUCCAUACUGACAGAUGAAAAAGAAUAUGUCUCCCGAAGGUUCAGAAGCAUGGGCGGAGAUAUAAAGAGCGAGUAGGGGAGGGACAGAAAUGAUGGUGGAGGGAUGUGUUUGUGUUUGUGUCUGUGUCAGUCAUCACUGCAAGCGGGCAUUUUUCGUAUUAACGUCCGUAUAUUUAUCUUUGACUGUUUUUGUGCACCAAGUCUGUUUGUUUGCAUACCUUUGUGUCCAAAGUCACCCCAGUCCUAGAUUAUAUAAUGCAAGUAGUCCUACACGUGUUUACACAUGUAUGUGUAUUAAUCAGGUUUCUCCUCAACUGAGUCUGUGUCACCUGCCUCUUGGUGCCAGUUGUGAUACUUUGGUUUAGUCGUACUCUCUGCAGAUCGGCAGCAGCAGCAGCAGUCCCCUCCUCAUGGAGAGUGGAAGCAUCUGACUAGAGUCCACUGGGAGUAGUUAGCAGAAGAAGUGCAAGACAUUCAACUAUUCCACCCUGUUAUCAGACUUGCGCACCACAAGGCACCACUUGUCAAUUUUCCAGGGGACACCUUGACAUCAAAUCCUCUAUUUUUAUCGGAGGUUGCAUGACAACUAUCCAUGUUUGUAGAUCUGGUCUGGGAAAACCGGGGCCUACUCAAAUUGACCAAUGCGGUGCGAUUUGAAUGACAAAAUAUAUUUUUACAAUUGCAUCAUGUCUUGAAAAUGAUUAGAUUUAAGUAGUAUUCUUAUUUUCAUUUGUUGCUAUUGUUCUUUGAGUGGCAAAUACAUAUCCAUUAAUCUUCACCAGUCUCACUGCAAAAGCGCCAGAACAAUGCCCCUACAAAACACAGAUUGUGCGGAGCAAUACAAAAAUUGAUGAUCAAAACAUUUCAACCACCAAACAACAACAACCACUUCGGAUCAGUCAAAUUGGGUCCAUUUGGCAAUCAAAAGGAGAGCAGUUAACCUUAUAAGAAAAACAUAUUCCAGUGCCCUGUGGGCCUGCUAUAAAGCAACAUCUAGAAAUAUCUCAACACGUCUACCUCUGCAGUCGAUUUUUUCAAUAGAAGAACCGCCCCAAGUUGUAAGAGGCGACUAUAUUUUUUCUUCACACCCAUUAUCCUGUUUUGAAAGGUCGGCUAAGACAGAAGACUUGCAUACCGGUCCAUUUUUGAGUUAAAGAAAAAUGUAAAGCGCCUGAGAGGCAAAAUAAUUAUUUUACAUGUAAUAUAGAAGAAAAUACAUCUGCAGCUGAUGUUUUUGUGUAGUAUUUUUUGCACUGGUUUUGUGCAGCAUUGUUGCCGCUAUUUUUAAUUUUUUAAUUCAACUUAAAAACAAGUUUAACUCUAAUUAUCCUGUUCAACAAGCAAAUGCUUUGUUUGAUGAAACCCAAGAAUAAAAGGCACUGAGAAUUAUCAGCAAAGCCGUGAAACACACACACACAAUAUAUGCACAGCCCCAUGCUUUGCACAACUGCUGUAUCAGCAGAGAAGAUGAGGAGGAUGCCAAGAGACGCACAUGCAGCUUUGACGAGGAUCAGCUGCCACAGAUAGGCAGGCAGGCCAAGAAGGCAGCGUGUGCCCUUGAGGUGCUGUGUGCAGGCAGGGUGGUUUGCUUGGCUUGUCUGAAUCCACCUCCUUCAUCUUUUGCACUUGGGUUGAGUUGGGUGUUGAUGUCCCAGGGACCCCCUGCCAACCCUGUAAUGUUUUAUACUGGCAGCCAAACAUCAGAGAAUUUUUUUGAAGGAGACAAUGUGGCCAAAAAAAAAGUACCUUUGUAUUUUUUUUUUAAUCUGUGGAAAACACUGAGGGGAGUUGCUGACUUAUAGCAACUUUGCAGAGAUUUCAACUGUCCGACCGGAUAAAUCAGCAAAUUAAUUUAGAAUAAAUCCUGGAUCCUAAAGUAUGUUGUUGGUUUUCUUUUGCUGUGUUGAGAAGAUAACAACCCCAUUGAAGAUUUUACUGAGGCAGUCGGACAUCCUUGCUGUCUUAAAUGACAACAGCUGUUCUGUGCAGCCUACACAUUCAUGUCGGACCCCGGAAUACCUUUCAUGCUUGUCAACAAGCUUUAUAGUUUCCGAGAAAUGCAAUACGAUAAUGCCUUUCUGGGGGAAGGAGUGUCAGGUAUGGCAGGAGUAAUGGAGAAAGGGCUUGAAGUGCAGGUAACCCAGGUUAGGCCGGGUGUAAAGGGGAUCCGAUAAGGCGUUCCCCAGACCCUACAGGCUCCCAGUCUCUACGCGAGAAUAAUAAGCAGCUGUAACCCUGAGACACUCCCAGGCCUGUGUCCUCAGCUACAAAAAACUUUCACCGUGCGUCUUAUCAGGUUCUAAGGAUAUCACGUAAGACAAUACAUGUGAGAAGUGCAGCGCGAACAAUGGAAGGAAAGUGCAGCGUGAUACGAGGGGGACUAAUGUCAGCGACUAUUGUUGAGGCCUUUGUCAGCGUCAAGUACACACCGGGAACUCACAGCUCACUGAACUCCUUUCAGUCAAGGAUCUUGCUUUAAGAUGUGAUAAAACACGACAAGUGUGCCGUCCCACAGUGAAGGCAGAUUUUACACACAUAAGUUAUGUGUUUCUGUCACAGAAAACAUGCCGCCAACAGGUAGUUGUAAGAUCUCCUCUGGCUGGGAAAAAGGAUUUAGUUUCACUUGUUGUUUCUACAAGAGAAGUUGCUGUAGAAGUUGUUGUGUUACACAGUAUGUGGUCAAGUUUCCCCAACGUUACCUCAUGGACCUUUGAUGUGAUAAUAUGUAAUAAAAAGGAAAUGUUAACAAAGCUCAUCAUGAAAUGUCUUUACAGUUUUUUCAUUAUUGUCUCUCUUUCUCUCGUUAGGUAAACAAGUCAUCCUGAUCAACAAGAGUUUUCAUCGGAAUAGGAGCAUCAAGACACUUAACAUUACUCUGCAACCCUUGAACCUGCACUGUACUUUCCAUUGCUGUUUUUCUGUCAAUUGGUUGCAUACUCCUGCACUACUGGUCAAACAGACUAAUCCUGUGACCAUGCACUAACUGUAACAACCAAUUGUGUUUUAUAUUUUGUUAUUCUAAAUGGGAGAAUACUUAGAAUAAAAAUAUUUCUCACGUUCAAACCCAUUUUCUUUUCAUGUAAUUAUUUGAGUCUAAAAAGUAUAUAUUUUUGGCAGCUUAAUAAAAGCCUUUUCUUCUUUUAACUGAUGUUUUAGUGUGAGUUAUUUCUCUCCUUUCUGUGUAGUGGGUGUGCACUCCAAGUAAAAAACAAUGUGCUUGACAUAAUUGGGUCCUAUUUGGCUAUGAAAAGAGCACGCGUGCUGAUAAAAGCUGGAAGGGUGAUCAAAGCACAAUGCGUCCCGAUCGACAUCAUACGCAUGACAUGGUUGUAGUUUAUCCUGACAGAUUAAUGAAACGUGAGGAAACAGGGGAAACAGGUUCAGACAGUUUCCAAGAAGCCUUCCUGUUCAUAAUCAGCUCCUUUUUAUAUUUUGUGCACGUCCUCUGACUAACAAAUAAAAUGUGCCUGUGUGUGCAUAACAUGGAACAAUUAAAAAACUGCAAUGAUUGGAUGCAUAUUCUCUGCACCUCCUUGUGUUGCCAUUUCCUCUCUGUCAGGUUUAAGUUUGAUCAAAGAAAAGUAGGACAAUUUCUGUGUAGUAUUCAUGGCAAAGUUUUCCUUAAAAAAAUGUAAACUGUAAGACGAAUAAAAAGUAGGAUCCUUUGGGACAGCAGCCUCAUUUGUCUCCCUUUUCUAUCUUUCAUUAGACUCAUCUUUUUUGACCUCUUCAUUUUCCUUUUUCCCUAAUCGCAUUUGUUUUCUGUCUCUUCCUCUUUAACAUUCAUUCUCCCUAUUUUUCUCACGCUAACUCGAUCUGUAUUUCCUUUACCAGCAUCACUCUUCCCUCCUUUCCUACAGCUGUCUUCGGUCCUGUCUGCCACCCUGGGUCUUCUCCCGCCCUCACCCAUUCUCUCUCGCUCCCUCCCUUGUCUUUCUCUCCCUCUCAGAUGUCAGAUCACAGUCUACUCUUCCGCUUGCCCUGUCAUCACAUUUUUCACACAGGCCCAUCCCUUAAGUAGGUCUGUAUCAUCAUAUCAUAUCAUGUAGAAUAUCUGAUCACAGCAAGAGAUGAAAGAUGGCCUCCACCUCUGUCUCCCCUCCCCCCACAGAGAGACCGACACACAAACGUACACACACGCUAGACUCCAGAAGCGCACACAUGUCAAUGGUCGUGUUGGACGUGAAUUUGAGCCUGACGGCUGGGUCCUGUGUUCAUUUCUACCCACCGUGUUUGCACCAAGUUGUCCAUGUGAUUGUUACAGCGUGGCAGGUGAGAUGGUGUGUAUUCCAAGAUGGUCCACUGAUGUUUGCAUCUCCUGCUGGUGGCUUUUGUCAUGAGGCAAAGGAUGCCCUGAAGCCAGCAGUGUCACAUCUACAGGUAACUAGCAAAAGGAAAAGGGAAGCGUCAACCUAAAGUGUCUCGGGAGUACAAAAAUAACUCCAACAUGUCUUGGUGUCAACUUGAAGGAUGCAGCACAAAACCCUUUUGAAGAUAUCCAGCAUUUUCUGCUGCUGACAGAAAAUGGUUCAAAAGUGCUGAGACGAUUAGCCUUACAAUGAAAUAGCUGAUCAAGCCUUUAUCUAUUCAAGUUAGACUAUUCAUCCCCACCCUCUGCAAGGCCUUUAGAAAUACCCAUUAUUUUCCAAAAAAAAGGCAAAGAUGUGUGUUUAUGCGUAAUUGUAUAAUUGUAUUCACAGAAUACAAGCAGUUGCUUGUGGAGAAACAUGUGUCAGUGCAGUACAGUAUGGUUUGUCACUAAGUGGGUCUGAAGGCCUGGACAAAGUAUACAAAUUCAAAAUGUGCGUAGAUGAAGUUUUUUUAAGAAGGUAUCAGUAUUCAAAAACCAAAUGCAGUCUGAAUGUUUCUAUACGAUAUCCACCCAUUAACAAAGUUGCACAGUAGUGCUGUGAAAUAACCCCUCCCAAAUGCUCAAAUGCCCACAUUACUGUAGAUUGACAGAAAUAGCGGACUCACAAUAUUACAGUUCUGUAUCUGGAUGAAUACAACACUUAUAUAUAUAUAUAUGAAUAGGUCACUUGCUUAAACACUACAUCUAGAUACAUCUUUCAGUACAAUUGGAUUAAGCCGAAAGCAUUUGGGAAAACAUUAAGACUUCAGACGACACUUACUCACCAUUGAUACCCUGAAGGCGGUAAGAAUGCAUGCACAAAUUCUACUAUUAAAGUUUAGAUGUUUAAAAAAAAAAAGGUUGUUUUCGUUGAAGGUGAUUUUUGGCCAUGGAACAUGACCUUGAAGCUGCUGUUAAAGAAAAGUAAAGAAUAAAACUUCUAAACUCUAUUAUACAAUAGAACAUUUUUGCUUCUUUCUUUGUCUCCUUUCUAUUAUUUUUCCACUAGACGGCACACUAUUUCUCUUUUAUCUACAGACAGCACACUUUGUGUUAUCUUAUUUUGUUUGGGAGAAGAUUCACAAGUACUAUCUGCCCCAUGAUCCCAACAGACGAAAAGAUACAGAGCUCCAAGUCUGGAAACUUCCCAGCGAGAGAAAUUAGGUCUUACUGAACCUUUGGUGUGUCUUUAAAAUCUCUGGUUAAAGAAGAUCUGUAACCCAAUGAAGCUGCAGGCUGCAUAGUGUUCAAGCUCUAUCAAAUGUGUUAUAAAGUGCAGAUUUUAAUAAACCAGCUUGUUUGACAGCACAACUGAAAUCUCCUGCAGGAAUUGGGCUUUUCAUUGGAUUAUUCAAGGUUGUUGGGGUUAACUGGGUUUACUGUAAAAUUAAAAGUUUUCAAAAGAAAAAAGUCAGAAAUAAAAUGUGUUUCACUUACUUUUCUAUCGUAUGAGAUACAACAACUUAAAUAUCCAAUUCUGCAAAUCACCUCUUGCAGCUCGGCGGCUAGGCACCGAUAGCAGCCAGCAAGGCCACUAGCCGCACAGCGUCAGAGAUCGACCCGCUAGUGUGCACUAGAUGUUGAAAUAGUGCAUCAUAUUUUGGGUUACAUAGUGACAAACGGGUCACUACAAAACAACAAUGGUUGUUUUAACCAUCACCUCUCCCCACUCAUCAGAGAAAGUUGUUGUAAUGUUUUGUCAAGCAUUAGGUAAACUGCAGAUCAGGUUCUGUAUUUGGUCUGUGGGGUUCUUUUAUAUUCAAUCCUGUACCUGAUCCAGGUAAAUUUGUG